rnacentral:rRNA from 1 species
GAUGAACGCUAGCGGGAGGCUUAAUACAUGCAAGUCGAGGGGUAACAGGGUUUUCGGACCGCUGACGACCGGCGCACGGGUGAGUAACGCGUACGGAACUACCUUAUACUGGGGGACACACACCGGAAACGGAGUAAAUACCCCAUAGUCUCGCAGGAGUAAAGCUUCGGCGGUAUAAGAUGUUCGUGCGUUAGAUUAGGUAGUUGGUGAGGUAAUGGCUCACCAAGCCGACGAUCUAUAGGGGGCGUGAGAGCGUGGACCCCCACACGGGUACUGAGACACGGACCCGACUCCUACGGGAGGCAGCAGUAAGGAAUAUUGGACAAUGGAGGCAACUCUGAUCCAGCCAUCCCGCGUGAAGGAUGACUGCCCUAUGGGUUGUAAACUUCUUUUAUGUGAGAAGAACCGUACUCUUGUAAGAGUGCCUGACGGUAUCACACGAAUAAGCACCGGCUAACUCCG